GACGAACGCUGGCGGCGUGCCUAAUACAUGCAAGUUGAGCGCUGAAGGUUGGUACUUGUACCAACUGGAUGAGCAGCGAACGGGUGAGUAACGCGUGGGGAAUCUGCCUUUGAGCGGGGGACAACAUUUGGAAACGAAUGCUAAUACCGCAUAAAAACUUUAAACACAAGUUUUAAGUUUGAAAGAUGCAAUUGCAUCACUCAAAGAUGAUCCCGCGUUGUAUUAGCUAGUUGGUGAGGUAAAGGCUCACCAAGGCGAUGAUACAUAGCCGACCUGAGAGGAUUAUCGGCCACAUUGGGACUGAGACACAGCCCAAACUCCUACGGGAGGCAUCAGUAGGGAAUCUUCGGCAAUUGACGAAAGUCUGACCGAGCAACGCCGCGUGAGUGAAGAAGGUUUUCGGAUCGUAAAACUCUGUUGGUAGAGAAGAACGUUGGUGAGAGUGGAAAGCUCAUCAAGUGACGGUAACUACCCAGAAAGGGACGGCUAACUACGUG
rnacentral:rRNA from 1 species